rnacentral:ncRNA from 1 species
AAAAAUGCUGUGAAGGGGAAGAGUAAGUAUUUCAUCAGAUUUAAGAGAGCCGGAGGUACAUUUUAUAUGUCAGGUGGGAGCCCGGUACUGGUGUAUAUCGAAGGCAGCCCUGGAGUAGCUUUUCGAAAGCAAAUAUUUACGAAAAUAUUCUGUUAGUAGAAAAAGACGUUAGGCCACGUUACAGGCUGAUGGUGUAAGCAAUAGAUAUUUUUGUUGCCGCACUUUUUAAGGAGAAUGCUUAUGGCAUUAAUUAGGGUGGUACCGCGGAAACCUUCGUCCCUGUU